AGUGAACGCUGGCGGUAGGCCUAACACAUGCAAGUCGAACGGCAGCACAGUAAGAGCUUGCUCUUACGGUUGGCGAGUGGCGGACGGGUGAGGCAUACAUAGGAAUCUACUUUUUCGUGGGGGAUAACGUAGGGCCACUUCCGCUAAUACCUCAUACGACCUACGGGUGAAAGCAGGGGAUCUUCGGACCUUGCGCGAUUCAAUGAGCCGAUGUCGGAUUAGCUAGUUGGCGGGGUAAAGGCCCACCAAGGCGACGAUCCGUAGCUGGUCUGAGAGGAUGAUCAGCCACACUGGAUCUGAGACACGGUCCAGACUCCUACGAUAGGCAGAAGUAUGGAAUAUUGGGCGAUGGGCGCAUGCCUGAUCCAGCCAUACCGCGUGAGUGAAGAAGGCCUUCGUAUUGUAAAGCCCUUUUGUUGGGAAAGAAAAUCAGCGCGUUAAAACCCCGCUGUUCUGACGGUACCCAAAGAAUAAGCACCGGCUAACUACGUG
rnacentral:rRNA from 1 species